rnacentral:rRNA from 1 species
UACGUAGGUGGCAAGCGUUGUCCGGAUUUACUGGGCGUAAAGGCUGCGUAGGCGGCUGUUUAAGUGAGAUGUGAAAUACCCGAGCUCAACUUGGGUGCUGCAUUUCAAACUGGAUAUCUAGAGUGCAGGAGAGGAAAGCGGAAUUCCUAGUGUAGCGGUGAAAUGCGUAGAGAUUAGGAAGAACACCAGUGGCGAAGGCGGCUUUCUGGACUGUAACUGACGCUGAGGCAUGAAAGCGUGGGGAGCAAACAGG